rnacentral:rRNA from 1 species
UAUGAGAAACGGCUACCACAUCUAAGGAAGGCAGCAGGCGCGUAAAUUACCCAAUCCUGACUCAGGGAGGUAGUGACAAGAAAUAGCAAACCGGGAACCUCAUGGUUUCACGGUAUUGCAAUGAGAACAAUUUAAAACCCUUAGCGAGAGUCAAGUGGAGGACAAGUCUGGUGCCAGCACCCGCGGUAAUUCCAGCUCCACUAGCGUAUAUUAAAGUUGUUGCAGUUAAAAAGCUCGUAGUUGAACCUCUGUCUGGGGCUAGUUUUGGCUUUGGUCAGGCUAGUUCUAGGCAUCCGCCUACAAGACUUAGAGGGCAUUCAGUUGUUCACUAGGAGGAGUAGGCAUUUUACUUUGAAAAAAUUAGAGUGUUUAAGGCAGGCAAUCGCCCGCAUAUAUUAGCAUGGAAUAAUAGAAUAGGACACUUUUCCAUUUCGUUGGUUAUUGGAAUCGUGUAAUGAUUAAUAGGGACAGUUGUGGGCAUUUGUAUUUAAUUGUCAGAGGUGAAAUUCUUGGAUUUAUUAAAGACAAACUAACGCGAAAGCAUUUGCCAAGGAUGUUUUCAUUAAUCAAGAACGAAAGUUAGGGGAUCAAAGACGAUCAGAUACCGUCCUAGUCUUAACUAUAAACUAUUCCGACUCAAUGUUUGACUGGCUUAUAUAACCAGUUGAGCGUUGUAUGAGAAAUCAAAGUCUUUAGGUUCUGGGGGGAGUAUGGUUGCAAAGCUGAAACUUAAAGGAAUUGACGGAAGAGCACAACCAGGAGUGGAUUCUGCGGCUUAAUUUGACUCAACACGGGGAAACUUACCAGGUUAAAACAAUAGUGGGAUUGACAGUUUGAGAGCGCUUUCUUGAUUGGUUGGGUGGUGGUGCAUGGCCGUUCUUAGUUGGUGGAGUGAUUUGUCUGCUUAAUUGCGUUAACGAACGAGACCUUAACCUGCUUACUAGACUGGCGAUCAUCAAUCGUUAGCUCUUCUUAGAGGGACUUUGGUUGUUUUAACUCCAAGGAAGUUUGAGGCAAUAACAGGUCUGUGAUGCCCUUAGAUAUCCUGGGCCGCACGCGUCAUACAAUGACUAGUUCAGAAAGUUUUCUCCUGACCCGAAAGGGGAUGGGUAAUCUUGAUAAUACUAGUCGUGUUAGGGAUCGAUCUUUGCAAUUAUAGAUCUUGAACGAGGAAUUCCUAGUAAGUGCGGUUCAUCAGACCGUACUGAUUACGUCCCUGCUCUUUGUACACACCGCCCGUCGCUUCUACCGAGUGGGUGGUCCGGUGAGAUAAUUGAACUUCGCAGGUAACUGA